AAUUUAAAAUUAACUAAGUAAAUGCUGAGCUAUGAUCGAGCAGAGGCUCCUAAGCUGCUUUGCCCGUACAUAGAGAGAUAAGUGCAGUAUGUAGCUCCACAGUCCUCUGUCCUCUCCCUGUACUCAUCUCUAUGGUCAGCAGUACAGGGAGCUGCUGCACAUGCCGAGCCAAGCAAUAGAUUCCCGGGUCUUAUCAGUUUAUGAGCAGCAUGUCCUAUCACAGAGCCCCGAACAGAAGAGACAUGGCGGCAGAAUUGCAGACCUGCGUCCUCACAAGACAAAGCUCUCAUGCACACCUGCGUCCUCCAGGAGGGGGAGAUGAGGGGGCGUGGCCUAUCUCUGUCAGGCAGUUCUGAAAGAACAGAGGAAAAAAAAGCCAUGACAUCUUGUCCACAGCCUAAUCCUAACCUGUGGACAACAGUAAGAGAUCCAACACAGAACUACAGAACUUCCUGGCCCACAAACAGGAGGUGACACAAGAUGAAGUUGAAAGUGUUCAUUGAAAAGAUGAAUGGUUUUCUACGCCUUUAUGGGGCAAGAAAUUGCUGCAGCCUUUACAAUGGAUGGAAAAGACAAUGAAGAGUGUCGGAUGUGCCAGAAGGUACAAACCACAAUUGUAAGAGAUGGCAAAAGCAUUUCUCGUGUAAUUUGUUUUGUCACAUAUUGCCUUUACAG